AGGAACCAUUUUCACCUCAGCAAUGUUGAAGAUUUUCCCGCCAAAAAACAGAAUCAUCCCCACCAAAAAAAAAUCUACCAAUCUUCCAAAACUCAAUCACUUCAUUCUCAUCAACACCUAAUUCUUUUUCUUCUCCUCCUUCUCCUUCCAGGUCUUCAUCUUUAUAUCCUCGCCCAUCAAAUCUCACUAACACAAUACUCAACUGCACAAGCGCUAAUCGAGCACUUGAAUUGUUCAAUUCAGCCACGAAACAUGCCAUCUCGAAUAAGAAUCUGGAGCUAUAUUCAGCAAUAAUUCAUGUCCUAAACCACGCCAAUUUAUACAUUAAGGC
rnacentral:lncRNA from 1 species